UUAAGUUCAGCGGGUAGUCCUACCUGAUUUGAGGUCAGAUUUCAAAUUACAUUGACCGCCGCUCUACAGGCGAGUCGUGGGAGGACGCCAAAAGGGGAACUUCUCGGUCGAGCGAGGAUGGUACAACGCCCAGUCGAGUUCGACCCACAGGUCCAACCGAUGCAUUUGAGGGGAGCCGCCUCACGGCAGCAGGCCCCCAA
rnacentral:misc_RNA from 1 species